GUCAGCUCGUUCUCUCACUUGGCGUGAUAACAGCUAGACCUCUGCUGCUCUGCAGUCCUGCUUCUAAGCAGAUUUCUCUGAUCUCCUUGUUUUUCUCCCCUGCCUUGCAGAUCUACCUUUGCUGAAGGAAGUCGUGGAGUCUCUCUGGUCCCCGUUUUCACUCAUGUCAUGUUCAGAGGAGUUUGGAAACUCCAGCCUCGACACUUCAGCCCUGACCCUCCACUCUGCUUCCAACUCCAAACCCAGCUUCUCAGGAGUCACCUAAAACUACCCAUCAACCUGCCUGUCCAGCCUCCAACGUUAACUCUCCAACCAUAGUGGAGUUUCCUGGAAGGAAAGACACACAAGCGGAGGAACAGAACAAUUCAUCUUCCGAAAACUGUGCACAGCCUGUCAGCCUCAAGCCACUGUGGAAAAAGGACUUAUUUCCCCCCGGUCUUUCCAAGAACUCAACUCCUAGAGAUCCUGCGCUUGUCCGCCUGCUCCAGUCCUGGUUCCAGUCCGACCUCUAUCCGUGUAUCUUAAUAAACUGUUAAAAUGC